CGCGGGGUGGAGCAGUCUGGUAGCUCGUCGGGCUCAUAACCCGAAGGUCGCGGGUUCAAAUCCCGCCCCCGCUACCA
rnacentral:tRNA from 2 species